rnacentral:lncRNA from 1 species
UUUCUUUUCAAAAACAAAUUGAAGAUAACUAAAGAAUCAGCAUGAUUACUUGAUGAAAAAAUUUAGGGGAACAAAAAAAAUCAAAAAAAGAGAGAAAAGUUCUAGUUGCUAAAGAAAUUAUAAAAGAAAUAGAAUGUCAUGAAAGAAAAUGAAAAGCAUAUGACUUCAAGAAACAAAUUACUCAAACAUAUUUCUCUCUCUCUACUGAUAAAAUAACAUUUAUAAAUGAGAACCCACAUCAACCUUCACUCUUUAAUAUUUUCUCUCUCUUUAAUAUUUUCUCUCUCUUUAAAAUCCUAAAAUGUGGUUUUAGAGAGAGAGAAAUCAUCACAAGAAGAUAAUGAAUUGGGUAAGAUGUAAUGCCCUUAUAUUUAUAUUUAAAUGUCCGUCGAUCCUUUAUGUAGUAAAUCAUAACUGAAAAUGUGUGUUGAUUUUUGAAUUUUAAUAUUCUCUCUCUAUAAUAUUCACGUUUUAUAGAGAUUAUCUUUAUGUACGGUACGGUAUCUUUAUUAUCUCUUACACGGGAUACUGAUAUUCGGUUACGGGCCCUAAUCCUAUGGGAUGAUUUUAACCUUAUCUUGUGUUCGGAGUCUUCGGAAAUGAUAAUUUUCUAAAUGAUAAACUUUUAUGUUUUAUCAUAUACAUAGUUGUUAUCAUUUUGUGUUAUCUAUUAGAUAGUAAGUUCACAUGUAACUAUUUGUGUUCUCUUAGGCAUAUUAUAUUUUGAUUGAAAAAGAGUUACAUAGUUUUCACAAAAUAAUAAUUUAAUAUUUUUAAACUAAAAGAAUUUAUUUGUGAUUAAAAAUAAAAUUUUAGAUAUUAAAUCUAAAAAAUAAAUAUUGCCCAUAAGAGCAUGUUAUACAAUUUUUUAAAACCA